rnacentral:lncRNA from 1 species
AUGCCUCAACUAGAUACUUCCACAUGACCUAUUAUUAUUAUAUCAACAAUCAUAACUUUAUUCUCCGUUAUUCAAUUAAAACUACCAAAGUUCAUUUACCACACACCCCCUACACCAAAAAUAAUUAAAACACAAAAACAUAACAACCCUUGACAACUAAAAUGAACGAAAAUCUGCUCACCUCAUUUACUGCCCCGACAAUCCUCG